CGGAAGUGGUGGGCAGGACAGACACGCCCGUCGCAACUGGGACUUUAAAUGGUGUCUGUCCCGUGAAAUGACUUCGGACUUCACAUACAGCGUGACAACGUACUCAAACGAUCAGUUUUUUGAAAAACAUUGAAGAUCAUAUUCUUUUUUAAGUUUUAACCGCGCAACAACGAGGAGGCAAGCAAUGAUGUUGGUUUGGGUCCCAGCUCUGGCAGUGCUGACAAUGAUGGUGCUGUUGUUGAUCAGCUUCCUACUUUUUAAAAGACAAGCUUCCAGUGGUAUUGUUAACCCUGGAGGCACUGUGGGCUCCAUCAUCCACUACCCCCCAAACAUCAGUCAGGUCACCCAUGGAUACCUUCCCAUCUGAAAUGGUUGCAGACUAAGACCAAAUCCUCGCACUCACUUGAAAUGCUGGCUAGAUAAAAGAUGUGUUUACUGCCCAACCCAACACUCACCUCACAACACGCUUAACCUAAUACCAAUUUGCAGGCACAGGUGUGCUGUACUUGUAAAAGCGGUAAUGCUGUGCAGAUAUUUUAAGUUCAUUACCAUUUACGAGGUGUCAGCACUGGUAUAAGAUUCAGAAGGAAUGAUGUGUGUUUUUGAAUGACGUUGAAUAGUUUAACUGUAAAUAUUUCCCGGUGAUAUCUACAGAGAUACGUUAGCGUUAGUGGUUCACCGCUUGGACAUGCUGCCGUUUUUUAAAAGCUUGUAUAUAAUUGCUAUUACUGUUGUUUAAAUAAAGCCAUCACUGUGCCAAAUUA